CCGAAAUUUAACAAAAUUCCUUUCUACCUCCAACCUCAUUCUUCUUCAGGAGCAAAAACAUUAAAGAAGGAUCGGCUCUCAGCCAGUGAUAUGUUACAAGUUAGGAAGGUGAUGGAGCAUGUUUACGAAAAAAUAAUAAACCUAGACAAUGAGUCUCAGAUGACAAGCUCUUGCAAUAAUGAAAAAGCUGGGGAACAAGAAAAAGAGGAAGACAUCACAGUUCUAGCAGAGGAGAAGAUUGAACUCUUGUGUCAAGACCAGGUUUUGGAUCCAAAUAUGGACCUUCGAACUGUCAAGCAUUUCAUAUGGAAAAGUGGGGGUGACUUGACACUUCACUACCGACAGAAGUCAACGUGAGCCAAGUGGUGGACCCAACUGGUUAUUUAACUAAUUAACCAGCUUCCUGUGCUGGUUCCACCUUAGUACUCUAGGAGCCCACUUAAAUGCUACGUUCUGACAUUUUAAAUGCCUCAGCACAGACAGAAUCUACUUGAGGUGACUAAUAAAUAUGUAACAUAGAUUAAAUCGGUAUGAUGUAAAUUCAAGAUUGUCCAUAGCAAGGUCAAGCAAGAGUGAUAUAAGAACCCCUUGACUUGUUCCUAUUAAGGUGUGUACAGAGACAAGGUGACCCAGUGCAGAUAUCUGCAGUUCUCUGUUUAUUUCCAAGAUUAUCAUCCUUCAUUCACUCAAGCUUGAUAUGAAAACUCUUUCAGUCCUGCUGUUCAUUCUCAGGUUUGUUUGUUUUAAAAAAACA